ensembl:rRNA 5S_rRNA 5S ribosomal RNA
GUCUAUGACGAUGCCACCCUGAACAAGCCCGAUGCCGUCUGAUCUUGGAAGCUAAGCAGGGUCGGGCCUGGUUAGUACUUACUUGCAUGGGAGACCACCUAGGAAGACCAGGUGCUGCAGGUG